rnacentral:lncRNA from 1 species
CACUGAGAUACUAAUGACAACUAUUAACAUCGUGACUCUAAAAACAGCGCUCUUGGGCCUGUAUUCUCUUUUUUCCUUUUCUUGGGUGCUUUUUGAGCACCUUGUUUUUGGUCUUUUCUAGACCUUUUUCCUGAUUUCUUAAUAUAAUGAUACGUGGUUCUCCCACGUGUUCGAGAAAAAAAACAACGCUCUUGUUAGUAGAAACAGGUCCAAGCAUUGGAUUCAAUGAAACUACACUAUAGCUCUGCUACAUUUAAUAACCCCUGAUGAAUUCACAUAGAAAUACGAAUUAUUAGCACAAAGAGGAAUACAGCAUUCUGAACUGAUACCUCACCAUGACACCUUGGGAGAACUUUAAUUUAUUUCUUUGACAUGUAUCAUAGGGUACAUCAGCAGUAGCCUAAAGCUGGUGUUAAUACCGUUUACCUUAUUAAUUCUGGGCUACAAGAGACAAGAAAAUGGUGUACUUUAGACCAUUUUCCCGUUCAUAUUAUGCAUAUUUUUUCCCCAUUACCUUCCAUCAGUGAUACUUCGUAAUAUGCAGUAUUUGAGCACAGAACCAGUCAGACUGUCUUUCCCCAUUACCCAUCACCAGUUCUAAUUAAUAAGAUGUCAGACAAAGCGCUUGCAUGAUCCAGAGAUCUGUUUUGCCUUAAUUUUUUGCUAUGAUUGCCUUCAGUUUGGUCAAGCACUCACAGUUGCCCUUAUUUUUUUAAAUGUAUGGUGAUCUGCAACAUUAAAAUUCGAC